rnacentral:rRNA from 1 species
AGUGAACGCUGGCGGUAGGCCUAACACAUGCAAGUCGAACGGCAGCACAGUAAGAGCUUGCUCUUACGGGUGGCGAGUGGCGGACGGGUGAGGAAUACAUCGGAAUCUACUUUUUCGUGGGGGAUAACGUAGGGAAACUUACGCUAAUACCGCAUACGACCUACGGGUGAAAGCAGGGGAUCUUCGGACCUUGCGCGAUUGAAUGAGCCGAUGUCGGAUUAGCUAGUUGGCGGGGUAAAGGCCCACCAAGGCGACGAUCCGUAGCUGGUCUGAGAGGAUGAUCAGCCACACUGGAACGGAGACACGGUCCGAACUCCUACGGGAGGCAGAAGUGGGGAAUAUUGAACAAUGGGCGCAAGCCUGAUCCAGCCAUACCGCGUGGGUGAAGAAGGCCUUCGGGUGGUAAAGCCCUUUUGUUGGGAAAGAAAAGCAGCAGGUUAAUACCCCGCUGUUCUGACGGUACCCAAAGAAUAAGCACCGGCUAACUUCGU